UACGAAGGGGGCUAGCGUUGCUCGGAAUCACUGGGCGUAAAGCGCACGUAGGCGGAUUGUUAAGUCAGGGGUGAAAUCCUGGAGCUCAACUCCAGAACUGCCUUUGAUACUGGCGAUCUGAGUCCGGGAGAGGUGAGUGGAACUGCGAGUGUAGAGGUGAAAUUCGUAGAUAUUCGCAAGAACACCAGUGGCGAAGGCGGCUCACUGGCCCGGUACUGACGCUGAGGUGCGAAAGCGUGGGAGCAACAGG
rnacentral:rRNA from 1 species